AUGGCGGGCAAGCACCAGAGUGAGGCAGGGGUGCCCAGGGAAAGGGAAGAGGAACAGGCUGAGUUUCAUACACUUGUCCAGGAGUUCCUGAACUACUUCUUGGGGGCCCACGUGUACCCCGAGCAAAGGGAACACCAGAGAAGGGAGGGGGAGCGCCGGCUGGUGCAAGCGCUGGUCGGCAGGAUCAUGGCUCAGGUGCACGAGUGCAACGUGGAGAUGUUCACUGGAAAAGCCAUCCUGGUGGGCAGCCAAGCCCAGCACCUCCACGUCCGGACAGAGUCCAGCAGCAGCGACUACGACUUCCUGGUCCCCAUCCAGUACAACACGAACCUGAUCCUUAUGGGCAGCCUGUACAGCAAACUCUACACCCCGAAAAGUCAUCUGCCCGCCUGGGAGAGCAUGGAGCCCGGGGUGCCGGUGUACCGCUGGGGGAACAAGGUGGUGGUGGAUUAUAACAAGCUGAUAAUGAGAGAUCUCUUGGAGAAGAAGACGGUGGACAUUGACCUCACAGAGGAAGACAUAAAAACAAUAAAUGACCGGCAGCUACGGCUUUGGAAGAAUAGCGUUAGUCCAUAUAGUGUAAUGACAGAAUUGUGGGAGUGUGUCCAGAAAGCUCUGACUGAAGAGCAAAGAAACCCUGCUCCUGGAAUUAGUAACAUUAGACUGGAGAACACUGUGGGUAUUACACCAAUUAGUCCAGCCGUGCAGCUCAGUGCAGUGGUGAACGGCCAAGCUGUGUCUAUAGACCUGGUGCCCACCAUCCGGAAUAAAGUGGACAUGUCCAUGGAUUGGCCGCAGCAGGAUCUGAGGUGGCUCUCCGACUGGUGGGACCGGGAGCAGGGCACUGAGCAGAGAAAACCCACCUGGAAUACCGAGGAAAUUUACAAAACUGGGACCGAUCUGGUGGCCAAGAAUUCGUACUGGAGGCUCACCUUCUCCCUGGCGGAGACCCAGUUCCUCAAGGACAUUGACGCCGAUGGUGGGUGCAGGCAGAAGGCGCUGCGGGUGCUGAAGCAAAUCAACAUGGAGAAGUGGGUACCGCACUACGGCAAAGUCCUGACCUCCUACCACCUGAAGGUAACUCAGACGGGGGAGCCAGGGUGGGAGGGGGUGGAGAAUGGGUGA
rnacentral:lncRNA from 1 species